AAACUAGGAACAGAGAACUCAGUGUAAGAACAACUUGUAUCCCCAGGAGGGAUGCACACGGUCUGGGUGGGAGAAGGCACUGCCUGAAGGUUUUGAGAGGAGGUGUCCAGAAUGGACGCCAGUGCUGUUGACACCUGAGCCCUCCUGGGUGCCAACAGAUGGAAGACUGCACCAUGUUAUGAAAAUAAGGUGAGUCACUUAUCACGGUUGCUUCCUGGGUUCAGGUCUGCAAAGUCAGUGAAGCAGAGGCCCCUGGAGGAAUCCUCACCUGGAGAAACAAGCAUGAGAACCUCGUCACUCCAGCUCAGCCCGGGAUUCUGGUCUCGUCUCUCGGUUGGAUGCAGGGCGUGUAGGACACUGUGAACCCAACCAGGAGCCAGACAGAACCGCCCAGCCAUCACAUGGCCACAGAGGCCUGCUGGGAGAAGGAAAUAAAUCUAUGAUAAGCCUCUCAGUCAGAGAAUCAUUCACUUACUCCAUGGCUCUGCAUUUUCAAUACCUUUUAAUAAAUUCUUUUAAAAUGAGCUAAUUUCAGCGUGACUUUCAGCAUCAGGAGCAGACCAUUUAUCAGCGGGAUAAACAGGAGUCCGUGGACCGGUCCACACUGGCAGCGUUUCCAGUCGUUCCAGGAUGGCUCGUGUUACUCGUCAAAUGACUUUCUAAGAAGGAGGAGAAGCGCAGCACAGAGUCAAGACUCAUCUCCACUGGGCCCUCCCUGAGCUGGCUUCCCGAGAUCCCGCCGGACCUCCACCACCCCAGGCCUGGAAUCUCCCGUGUGGUCUCCAGCUCCCAGUUCCGCCUCCCGCCUUGGACAAGGCGGAGCGUGUUGUGUUGUUCUCCAGCGGCGCUGACUUCUUUGGCUAACCGUGUCCCGGGUUUAUGUUCGGGGACGCAGAGAGGAACUCGGGGCUGCCUCUAAAUUACGUGCCACAGACUCGGCGAUGCGGCCCCACGUUGGGAACGCUUGUGAUUGAUUCUCUGCGGCUGGAGGCUGACCCUUCACUCCUGUUCCUCUCCCUUGGACGCUGUGAACCGCAAGCAUCGUUCCCUCCUGACCCAUUUGCGGAGGCAGGCCCUGGCCCUCGGCGUUCCGGAAGCUUCUGCUUGGCUGUGACACUGGACAGCCUGCUGUCUCUGGCUCCUGGGGCUCCGGGGUGGCUUCGUCUUCCGGGUUUCCACCCAGAGGCUGACGCAGAACAACAUGCCCGCCCAGCCAGCGUUCGGGGAAUGAAACCCGCGGCCAUGCUGCAUUCAGGGGCCAGCUGUCCGGCUGGAGAGAAGCGCGAGGAUUUACGGCCAUCGAGGGGCCGGUCAGCAUCCCCGCCCCCUCGCUUUAUGACGCUCAGCUCUGGGAUUUCUCAUGGUGCUGAAGCCUGAUUGAAAAUGAUAAAAAAAAAAAAUGAUCAAGCAUAUCUUCACAACCGUCAGUGAGUUCCCACAACCAAGACAGCCAAGUGGGCAGAGUUCUGAGAGCCGUGCCCCUGCCCAGGCUGGCCAGGAUGGCUUGGGAACCUUCGACCCCAAUGAAGAUGAAACCCAGAAUCGUCUGACCUCAGCCAGACUUCCGAGCAAACCUCCCCUCUGAGCUCCGGGGCGCGGAGCUGGGCGUCUCCUGGGGAAGAGUGGUCCCUCCUGAGGGUUCUUCCUGGAAGACAGGGGGCCCAAGGUGGGGAUGAACGUGCCCGCUGCAGUGCUUCUCUGAGGGUUUGCUGGGCACAGGGGUCACAGGAGGGGACGGAGUCUUGUGCAAACACUCCUGUUAGGCAUCUCCCACCUGGCUGGCUGCUCUUCACCUUCUCUUGGGCAGAAGGCCCCUGCCCUGGUUUCUCCAGCCUCAGCGGACGUGCACACGAGACAGUGCCGGUCCCUUCAUCCGGCAGCUGGGAUCGCUGUACUCCAGGGCGCGUUUAUCUGCACACCCCUCCACCGAACAGGCCAAUCGAACCUCGCACACAGCGCUGGGUGCUUUUGGACACUGACGUGUCCCAGCAAUCGCCAGGGCCUCGAUUUAUACGUGUGGAAGCCAGAAGCUUCCUAUUGCAACCCAGCGGGCCUGGUUUCCGUCCUCGUUACUGACUUUCCACUGGGAAAUAAUUAGGUGACAAUGACCAAACGCAGCCCCCAGAUAGCAGGUACUCCGUAAACGCUUGUCGGAUUAAAGGAAAGUGAAUUAGUUCUAUUUAUACAAAAAUAACGAACUAGGGGCUGGAGAAACAGCCAAGUGGUUGGCUUGGGGGGUGCGUGGGCGGGAGUCCCACCGGGAGUCCCACCCGUCCGGGAAUGGGAUCCGGUUGACCAAGGCGGGAGCGGCAGGGUCCGGCUGGCCUCCCGACACCGCUCUGAAGGAGGGGCGUUUGCUCCCGUUGGCGUCUCCCGGCCAGCGGAGGCCCUGGCCACCGCGCCCCUGGAUGGCGAGCCAGCCGGGUGACGCACGCCCGCAGCCCACGAGAGCAUCCCCGGAAGUGCCGCCGCUGCCUCCCGGGACUUAAUCACGCCGAGCCCCGCCCACCCCGCGCACGCCGUAACGUGGCAUUUUAAUAUCCCGGACCUGUGACAUUUACACACCGCUUGAACUUUACUUCAGUGGCUUAUAUAUUACCAUCUGCGCUCCUUCAGAAGUGUGGCUUCAACGCAGUUUAUUCUCCAUCUUAGAGUUAUUUCUGGACUUUGCUACAGUCACAUUUCGCUGGCCUCCAACAGCUUUAAGCUCCUCAUAACAGUUACCAUGGAAUGUUCUAUUUCAAGGUAAAGCUAAGGCAUGCGGUAAUUAAACAUAUAAAAUAAAACUGCAAAACAUUGUUUCUAUACA
ensembl:lncRNA